rnacentral:rRNA from 1 species
GACGAACGCUGGCGGCGUGCCUAAUACAUGCAAGUAGAACGCUGAAGAGAGGAGCUUGCUCUUCUUGGAUGAGUUGCGAACGGGUGAGUAACGCGUAGGUAACCUGCCUGGUAGCGGGGGAUAACUAUUGGAAACGAUAGCUAAUACCGCAUAAAAUUGAUUAUUGCAUGAUAAUUAAUUGAAAGAUGCAAUUGCAUCACUACCAGAUGGACCUGCGUUGUAUUAGCUAGUUGGUGAGGUAACGGCUCACCAAGGCGACGAUACAUAGCCGACCUGAGAGGGUGAUCGGCCACACUGGGACUGAGACACGGCCCAGACUCCUACGGGAGGCAGCAGUAGGGAAUCUUCGGCAAUGGGGGGAACCCUGACCGAGCAACGCCGCGUGAGUGAAGAAGGUUUUCGGAUCGUAAAGCUCUGUUGUAAGAGAAGAACGGGUGUGAGAGUGGAAAGUUCACACUGUGACGGUAUCUUACCAGAAAGGGACGGCUAACUACGUGCCAGCAGCCGCGGUAAUACGUAGGUCCCGAGCGUUGUCCGGAUUUAUUGGGCGUAAAGCGAGCGCAGGCGGUUAGAUAAGUCUGAAGUUAAAGGCUGUGGCUUAACCAUAGUAUGCUUUGGAAACUGUUUAACUUGAGUGCAGAAGGGGAGAGUGGAAUUCCAUGUGUAGCGGUGAAAUGCGUAGAUAUAUGGAGGAACACCGGUGGCGAAAGCGGCUCUCUGGUCUGUAACUGACGCUGAGGCUCGAAAGCGUGGGGAGCAAACAGGAUUAGAUACCCUGGUAGUCCACGCCGUAAACGAUGAGUGCUAGGUGUUAGGCCCUUUCCGGGGCUUAGUGCCGCAGCUAACGCAUUAAGCACUCCGCCUGGGGAGUACGACCGCAAGGUUGAAACUCAAAGGAAUUGACGGGGGCCCGCACAAGCGGUGGAGCAUGUGGUUUAAUUCGAAGCAACGCGAAGAACCUUACCAGGUCUUGACAUCCCUCUGACCGCUCUAGAGAUAGAGUUUUCCUUCGGGACAGAGGUGACAGGUGGUGCAUGGUUGUCGUCAGCUCGUGUCGUGAGAUGUUGGGUUAAGUCCCGCAACGGGCGCAACCCCUAUUGUUAGUUGCCAUCAUUCAGUUGGGCACUCUAGCGAGACUGCCGGUAAUAAACCGGAGGAAGGUGGGGAUGACGUCAAAUCAUCAUGCCCCUUAUGACCUGGGCUACACACGUGCUACAAUGGCUGGUACAACGAGUCGCAAGCCGGUGACGGCAAGCUAAUCUCUGAAAGCCAGUCUCAGUUCGGAUUGUAGGCUGCAACUCGCCUACAUGAAGUCGGAAUCGCUAGUAAUCGCGGAUCAGCACGCCGCGGUGAAUACGUUCCCGGGCCU